GACGAACGCUGGCGGCGUGCUUAACACAUGCAAGUCGAACGGAAAGGCCCUGCUUUUGUGGGGUGCUCGAGUGGCGAACGGGUGAGUAACACGUGAGUAACCUGCCCUUGACUUUGGGAUAACUUCAGGAAACUGGGGCUAAUACCGGAUAGGAGCUCCUGCUGCAUGGUGGGGGUUGGAAAGUUUCGGCGGUUGGGGAUGGACUCGCGGCUUAUCAGCUUGUUGGUGGGGUAGUGGCUUACCAAGGCUUUGACGGGUAGCCGGCCUGAGAGGGUGACCGGCCACAUUGGGACUGAGAUACGGCCCAGACGCCUACGGGAGGCAGCAGUGGGGAAUAUUGCACAAUGGGCGGAAGCCUGAUGCAGCAACGCCGCGUGCGGGAUGACGGCCUUCGGGUUGGAAACCGCUUUCGCCUGUGACGAAGCGUGAGUGACGGUAAUGGGUAAAGAAGCACCGGCUAACUACGU
rnacentral:rRNA from 1 species